CCACUUCCUGUGUAAAUGAAAUUGAACAAUAAAAUUUUGUUCUUUUUCAAUCUCCCACCCUCUGCCCUCCCUCUAUCCCCCCCCCCCCCUCUCUCUCUCGCUCUCUUAGUUCCUCCUGAGGUCUCUCUGCUGCAGAAGGACUCCUUCUCUCCUGUCAUUACCUGUCAUGUGACCGGAUUCUACCCCCGUGACAUCAUGGUAACCUGGCAGAGAAACGGAGAGGACCUGGAUGUGGACGUAGAGCUGGGGGAGACAGUGCCCAACGAGGACGGAACUUUCCAGACCAGAUCUCACCUGAGAGUGAAGCCUGAGGACUGGAAGAGCCGAGAGUACACCUGUACUGUACAGCACAAGAGCCUGAAACAGGACAUCGUUCUGCCUGUCAGAGAGGAGAACAUCAAGAGGAACACAGAUAUCAAGACACAUAGCUUCAAUCCUGACGGCAGCAGCCCCCCCAUGGGCGUCAUCAUCGGCUGUGUGGUGGGCGCUUUCAUCCUCAUCCUCCCCGUCAUCGGUUUCGUCAGAAGAAAAGCUCAGUCUCUGGAUUAGCGGUGGUCGAAGAACCAGGAGAGCCACGCACAGCCGACGUGUCCUGCAGAGAAAGUCCCAGGAACAAGGAUCAGGGUGCGUGUUUUGGAUCCAACCAGGAGAAAAGGGCGAACGGCUUCCCCUUUUCCACCACAACUCCCACAGACUUUGCACUGGAAACCAGGAAACAUUUCCAAAAACGCAACCAAAGGACACUCAAGUAAGGGUAACUCUGGGCUUAGUAUAAUUAGCGACAGACCAAAUGUAGCCAAGUUUAUUAUUGGAUGUACGUAACUGGCUGUUAUUGUCUUUUAAUAUUAAUGUAAACGUUCUGUAUGUUCGGUUGGCUUUAAGCCAUCCACUGCACGUCGUUAGUUUUAAUAUAUGUCACGCAUUGAACAUAUCUUGCAUAUGAUCUAUUUUAAGUACUAACCGGUCAUAACACGGCAUGUUGCUCUCUAGCAAACACAAAUAGAUAACUAUUCAGUUAGCCUGUAUCUGUUUGGUACGCUUCAUACGCCAUUGUUUUUCACUAGCUUUGUCUAGAUUCAAAAACCCCUCCAUUCAUACUCCAUCUUGUUCCUUUGUUCUUCGUGAAUACGUGUCCGCGGUACACAAGAGAUGCACUUCCUCCUAAACUGUACAAAAUAUACAAAUAUAAGAAAAAUACAUUACCACAAAUUUUCAGAAAUUAUAAUGUGCGGUCCUUUUAGGACAAGGACCAACAGCCCCAAUUGCGGCUCAAUAUGUCUCAGCUUGCUAUAACCUGAGGGACACUGAGUGACCAUCCUACAUAAUUAUAAUUAUCUAUUUAUUUAUUUAUGUAUAAUAAUAAUAAUAAUUAUUAUUAUUAUUUAUUAAUAUUAUUUAUUAUUUAUUAUUAUUUAUUAUUAUUAUUAUUAUUGUUAUUAUUAUUAUUAUUAUUAUUAUUAUUAUAUUUGAUUUGAUUUGAUUUUUUUUCUUUAAAUGCUUCUGCCGAUUGAACAUUAAUAUUGUUAUUGUUCUGUUUUUUUAUAGAAUGUUCAACUGUUAUUAGUAUUCCACUGCAAAUACGUAUUUUGAAUUGAUUUAUAAUGCUUUAGCAAUAUGUACGUAUGUAUUUCCUGCCAAUAAAGCAAUUUGAAUUUGAA